CCAAUAGCGUAUAUUAAAGUUGUUGCAGUUAAAAAGCUCGUAGUUGAAUUUCGGGAUCAAUACGUCGGUCGUGCUUCGGUACGUACUGGCGUAAUUGAUUUCUCCCUUCUGACGAACCAUGAUGUCAUUAACUUGGUGUCAUGGGAAAUCAGGACUGUUACUUUGAAAAAAUUAGAGUGUUUAAAGCAGGCUCACGCUUGAAUACAUUAGCAUGGAAUAAUGAAAUAGGACGUUCGAUCCUAUUUUGUUGGUUUUUAGGAUCAACGUAAUGAUUAAUAGGGAUAGUUGGGGGCAUUAGUAUUCAAUUGUCAGAGGUGAAAUUCUUGGAUUUAUUGAAGACUAACUACUGCGAAAGCAUUUGCCAAGGAUGUUUUCAUUAAUCAAGAACGAAAGUUAGGGGAUCGAAGACGAUCAGAUACCGUCGUAGUCUUAACCAUAAACUAUGCCGACUAGGGAUCGGAUGAUGUUAAUUUUUUAAUGACUCAUUCGGCGCCUUACG
rnacentral:rRNA from 1 species